CAGUUAUCGUUUAUUUGAUAGUACCUUACUACUUGGAUAACCGUGGUAAUUCUAGAGCUAAUACAUGCUGAAAACCCUGACUUCGGAAAGGGUGUAUUUAUUAGAUAAAAAACCAAUGCCCUUUGGGCUCUUUGGUGAUUCAUGAUAACUUAACGGAUCGCAUGGCCUUGCGCCGGCGACGGUUCAUUCAAAUUUCUGCCCUAUCAACUUUCGAUGGUAAGGUAUUGGCUUACCAUGGUUUCAACGGGUAACGGGGAAUUAGGGUUCGAUUCCGGAGAGGGAGCCUGAGAAACGGCUACCACAUCCAAGGAAGGCAGCAGGCGCGCAAAUUACCCAAUCCCGACACGGGGAGGUAGUGACAAUAAAUACUGAUACAGGGCUCUUUUGGGUCUUGUAAUCGGAAUGAGUACAAUUUAAACCUCUUAACGAGGAACAAUUGGAGGGCAAGUCUGGUGCCAGCAGCCGCGGUAAUUCCAGCUCCAAUAGCGUAUAUUAAAGUUGUUGCAGUUAAAAAGCUCGUAGUUGAAUCUUGGGCCUGGCUGGCCGGUCCGCCUCACCGCGUGUACUGGUCUGGCCGGGCCUUUCCUUCUGGAGAACCUCAUGCCCUUCAGUGGGUGUGUUGGGGAACCAGGACUUUUACUUUGAAAAAAUUAGAGUGUUCAAAGCAGGCCUUUGCUCGAAUACGUUAGCAUGGAAUAAUAGAAUAGGACGUGCGGUCCUAUUUUGUUGGUUUCUAGGACCGCCGUAAUGAUUAAUAGGGAUAGUCGGGGGCAUCAGUAUUCAAUUGUCAGAGGUGAAAUUCUUGGAUUUAUUGAAGACUAACUACUGCGAAAGCAUUUGCCAAGGAUGUUUUCAUUAAUCAGUGAACGAAAGUUAGGGGAUCGAAGACGAUCAGAUACCGUCGUAGUCUUAACCGUAAACUAUGCCGACUAGGGAUCGGGCGAUGUUUCUAUCUUG
rnacentral:rRNA from 2 species